AGAGGUGGCGGCAGCUACACAUGCAGUCGAGCGGUAGCACAGAGAGCUUGCUCUCGGGUGACGAGCGGCGGACGGGUGAGUAAUGUCUGGGAAACUGCCUGAUGGAGGGGGAUAACUACUGGAAACGGUAGCUAAUACCGCAUAACGUCGCAAGACCAAAGUGGGGGACCUUCGGGCCUCAUGCCAUCAGAUGUGCCCAGAUGGGAUUAGCUAGUAGGUGGGGUAACGGCUCACCUAGGCGACGAUCCCUAGCUGGUCUGAGAGGAUGACCAGCCACACUGGAACUGAGACACGGUCCAGACUCCUACGGGAGGCAGCAGUGGGGAAUAUUGCACAAUGGGCGCAAGCCUGAUGCAGCCAUGCCGCGUGUGUGAAGAAGGCCUUCGGGUUGUAAAGCACUUUCAGCGGGGAGGAAGGCGGUGAGGUUAAUAACCUUGUCGAUUGACGUUACCCGCAGAAGAAGCACCGGCUAACUCCGUGCCAGCAGCCGCGGUAAUACGGAGGGUGCAAGCGUUAAUCGGAAUUACUGGGCGUAAAGCGCACGCAGGCGGUCUGUCAAGUCGGAUGUGAAAUCCCCGGGCUCAACCUGGGAACUGCAUUCGAAACUGGCAGGCUAGAGUCUUGUAGAGGGGGGUAGAAUUCCAGGUGUAGCGGUGAAAUGCGUAGAGAUCUGGAGGAAUACCGGUGGCGAAGGCGGCCCCCUGGACAAAGACUGACGCUCAGGUGCGAAAGCGUGGGGAGCAAACAGGAUUAGAUACCCUGGUAGUCCACGCCGUAAACGAUGUCGAUUUGGAGGUUGUGCCCUUGAGGCGUGGCUUCCGGAGCUAACGCGUUAAAUCGACCGCCUGGGGAGUACGGCCGCAAGGUUAAAACUCAAAUGAAUUGACGGGGGCCCGCACAAGCGGUGGAGCAUGUGGUUUAAUUCGAUGCAACGCGAAGAACCUUACCUGGUCUUGACAUCCACAGAACUUUCCAGAGAUGGAUUGGUGCCUUCGGGAACUGUGAGACAGGUGCUGCAUGGCUGUCGUCAGCUCGUGUUGUGAAAUGUUGGGUUAAGUCCCGCAACGAGCGCAACCCUUAUCCUUUGUUGCCAGCGGUUCGGCCGGGAACUCAAAGGAGACUGCCAGUGAUAAACUGGAGGAAGGUGGGGAUGACGUCAAGUCAUCAUGGCCCUUACGACCAGGGCUACACACGUGCUACAAUGGCAUAUACAAAGAGAAGCGACCUCGCGAGAGCAAGCGGACCUCAUAAAGUAUGUCGUAGUCCGGAUUGGAGUCUGCAACUCGACUCCAUGAAGUCGGAAUCGCUAGUAAUCGUAGAUCAGAAUGCUACGAUGGAUUGAGCUACAAUGGCAUAU
rnacentral:rRNA from 1 species